GCGAACGGGAUUAGAUACCCUGGUAGUCCACGCCGUAAACGAUGUCGACUUGGAGGUUGUGCCCUUGAGGCGUGGCUUCCGGAGCUAACGCGUUAAGUCGACCGCCUGGGGAGUACGGCCGCAAGGUUAAAACUCAAAUGAAUUGACGGGGGCCCGCACAAGCGGUGGAGCAUGUGGUUUAAUUCGAUGCAACGCGAAGAACCUUACCUGGCCUUGACAUCCACGGAAUUCGGCAGAGAUGCCUUAGUGCCUUCGGGAACCGUGAGACAGGUGCUGCAUGGCUGUCGUCAGCUCGUGUUGUGAAAUGUUGGGUUAAGUCCCGCAACGAGCGCAACCCUUAUCCUUUGUUGCCAGCGAGUAAUGUCGGGAACUCAAAGGAGACUGCCGGUGACAAACCGGAGGAAGGUGGGGAUGACGUCAAGUCAUCAUGGCCCUUACGGCCAGGGCUACACACGUGCUACAAUGGCGCAUACAAAGAGAAGCGAACUCGCGAGAGCAAGCGGACCUCACAAAGUGCGUCGUAGUCCGGAUCGGAGUCUGCAACUCGACUCCGUGAAGUCGGAAUCGCUAGUAAUCGUAGAUCAGAAUGCUACGGUGAAUACGUUCCCGGGCCUUGUACACACCGCCCGUCACACCAUGGGAGUGGGUUGCAAAAGAAGUAGGUAGCUUAACCUUCGGGAGGGCGCUUACCACUUUGUGAUUCAUGACUGGGGUGAAGUCGUAACAAGGUACCAAGGGCGAAUUCGCGGC
rnacentral:rRNA from 1 species